GGAAUAAAGGAGCUUGUGCCCAUUUUCCUGCGGGAAAACUGAAGCAGUGAGAGGCUCAAGGAGAGGGAGGUCUUGGCCAGGAUCCCGAAUCAAGUCAGAAAUGGGACUCAGGCAUCGAGAUGGCAGCCACAUGGGACAACUGAGUAAUGGGCCAUGACUAGUCUUAGCUGAGAUAAGCUAUGGCUGUAAAACACCAGAUUCUGAAGACUUCAGUGCUGCAUUAGGUCAUAGACCACGAAAUGGACAAGAUCACUGGAGAGUUCGUGUGAUUAGAAAGGUGGUCAGAAGACCUGAGUCAAAUUGAAGAGUUGGGUGUCUCUAAUGAGGCCGCAAUGAUUCUGCUAAAACCAGCACUGGCAAGAGGCCCCCAGUCUCAGGUGAGACUGAAGCUGAGACCUUGAUAGCAGCAUAGUCAUACCCUGAGCCAAGCACCCUGCUAAGCUGCACCCGUGCCCCUGACACACAGAGACUGAGAUUAA
rnacentral:lncRNA from 1 species